rnacentral:pre_miRNA from 1 species
AAACUAUUCCCUCCGUCCGAAAAUACUUGUCAUUAAAAUGGAUAAAAAAAGAUGUAUUUAGAACUAAAAUACGUCUAGAUACACCCCUUUUAUCCAUUUUGAUGACAAGUAUUUCCGGACGGAGGAAGUACUUG